rnacentral:rRNA from 1 species
AUGUCCAUGCUAUCUGAAAAUGAAGAUGGAAGCUACUUCCAAAGCAUGACCAGACGAGACCUACUAAACCAGGAAGCAAUGAAUGCAAGGAAAGAUGAUUUGGAUGAUGUAUUGAAACUUGUAUCUUUCUUUAAAUACAUGAAGGCAAUCAAUGAUGAGUUUUUCUAUGAUAUAGAAAGACGAAGAUGCAAAGUCAUUGAAGUGGUUGUUCGAUACAUUUGUACGCUGCAUGAACAACAAACACCCAACUUGCAUUCUAACAGAAUGACUUCCACACAACGAAGCGAGAGCAUGAAUCACGUGCUCAAGAGAGGGUUUGUCAAGGGGACCCAGAAUCUACACAAGUUUGCUAGGCGGGUAAAUGCUUGCAUACAAACUCGGAUGCAGAAGGAGAACGAGAAAACAAUGACAAGCAUGACCAAUCCUAUGACAGAAACAACUUACGGCUACGAGGAACACAUGGCUAUCAAGUACAUGAGAGCCUUGUACACCGAGAUGAGGACUAGGAUGAGAAAAGCAUUGCUAUUUCGCGCAAAGCCUACAACAGAGCCCACUAAGUACCUUGUGUACUACCACAACAAGGCUGGCCAUGAUGAUGAAGAAAGAUUUGUCUAG